GUUGCUCGGCGGGCGCCAUCUUUCUCGCGGCGCGGGCGGCGCCCUCCGAGGACAUCUCGAUGACCAGGGCGCCGCGAGGCCCGGGGCUAGCGGGAGCCGAGAGCAGGGUGCUGAAUUCUGGAGAUGGGACUGGGGUCGCGCGGCCUUCUCCUUCCCCACGCCCCCAGACCCAAAAGACGAGGCCGCCGGCUCGGAGCGGGAAGGGCUGGGGCCAGCUUCUUCCUCCUAACCACUUGUUUGUGAUGGAAGAAGGGGGCUGGGGGUCGAGCCUCGCGGCUGAUGGGUUCCCUCCCUGACCCCGCACCCCCACUCCUCCCAGUCGAAAUUGGAGGUGAGGCGCUCCUGCCAUUUUCUCUCCUGCGGUCUGAGAGUGGACGUCUUUGUCUUCUCUGGCCCGGCGUGGGGGCAGGGCAUUGAGCCUUUUCCUUAAUUCUUCAGUUAUUGAAAGUAGAGUCCAACCAGGUUACAAAACUAAAAAAAAGAGUCCAGGACAUUGUCUGUCUGCCUUCCGGUAGCAUGGUUCUCUGUGGGUACCCUACGCUUCGUUUCUUAGUUUUACUCUAAAACAACCCUGAGGAGACAUUUACUAGUUGUCAGAUUACGGGAAGGUGAUGGGUUCCAGUUUUUUGAAACUUUUUUUGUUGGCUUUCAUAUUACUUCAAAUGGCAGUGAAUUAAAACAGUUUCUUAGAACUCUAAUCUGAAAAGUUAAAUACGCUUUAAAACAGUCUGAAACUCUUCUAAAAAGCAAAACUGCAUUAUUAAAAGCAUCCAUGUAAGUAUCUGUUGGUAGUAUCUAUUAGAGAUGGGGGAGGGGUUUAACUUUUACAUUAUUAUUGAAAAGAGGAGGGGAAAGGUCUAUAAAGCUCUGAUCUCUCUAGAAGUCCACAUACAUGGAAAGUAAAUAGUUAAUUUCUAGUGUAGAAAAAUAACACCGUGGUGCCAGUAGGUGUGUCCUUGUGUUUAUAAAUAUACAUAGUGGAUGUUUUAGACCAUUUAAUGAGACCUAUUAUAUAUUGAAUACCUGCUGUAUGCCAGGAACUGUGCCUGAUGCUUUGUAUAAUUUCUAUUAUAUCAGCCCAGAAAUAGUGAUUUUAUGAUCUGUCUACCGGGGAAUGAACUAACGUUCAUAGAAGUAUAGUAAUUGUUCGAGGUCUUGCAGUUUUAAGUAGUAAAGUUGCCAUUGGAUCACAAAAGCUGUAUUCUUCCCCCUACACCUAUGGUUUCCAAAUGUGAGCAUCAGAAUUAAUUUGGGAGAUGUUUUUAAAUAGAGAUUUGUAACAUCACCUCUUCCACCAUCAUUUGCUAGGGCCAACUGGGUCUUUUAAUAAUGUGUCAGGCACUCCAACUUCUUGAUGUUCAAUAUUGACAUUCUGGCCCACCCUGCACCCGCUAUAUCCAAAGAUCUAGUAUUCCAAAGCUCUCCAGGUGAUUCCAGUGACACAGACACACGUUUGGACUGUCUUGUACUAUGCUAUGCACUGUUCUGCUCUUUUUUGAAUUGGAACAUGAGAAUUGAGGUCCAUGUAAUUUUGAGUUUCAGUAGUUUUUUGCUCACAUUAGUCUCAUUUUUGUUUUUCCUCUUGUAGCUGCCAUUUAUCAAAUCGAAAUUAUUUCCUCAGAGAAAAAGGUUUAGGUAUCCUAAGACUUUAAAAUCUCAGUACGUUUUUUUUUAAAGUAUGUUGUCUCAUUCUAUUGAGAAGUUAUACAACAUACAGGCUUCUAGGUCUAGCCAGGCCAUCUAGUUUAGUCAAGACAGCUGUGUAACAAACGUAGCCUUGAGGCCUGGCACGGUGGCUCAUGCCUGUAAUCCCAGCACUUUUGAGGCUGAGGCGGGCGGAUUACCUGAAGUCAGGAGUUAGAGACCAGCCUGUCCAACGUGGUGAAACCCCGUCUGUACUAAAAAUACAAAAAAGCUAGCCGAGUGUGGUGGCAGGUGCCUGUAAUCCCAGCUACUUGGGAGGCUGAGGCGAGAGAAUCACUUGAACUGGGGAGGCAGAGGUUGCAGUGGCCCGAGACCCCACCAUUGCACUCCAGUCCGGGAAACAAGAACGAAACUCCCAUCUCAAAAAAAAAAAAAAGAAUUGAAUCCAGGAUUGAUCCAGAAAUUGAGAAUAGGGUAGAAAAGACCCUGAUAUAAAGACCUGAAGAUAAAUCCUUAAAAGAAAAGGUUGUUUCCUGAAUUUUGAAUUGUGGACAUAUCUUCUGGGUUUUGGGAAGUAGGAUAGUCAAGUUAUGUGGAACCUAAUAGCAGAAUAUGGAUAAAAACACAGGUGUGAGCCACCAUGCCUGGCCGGGAGCAGCAUUCUUAAGGAAUUCAAGACACAGGAAGAACACUUGCCUUUAGUGGGAGCAAGACAACGCAGUGUGGCAGAAGACAAAGAAUGGGGGCACAAGUGCAAGGUGAAUUGGAGGUAGAAUAUAGGACUUAACUUUCUGACGGCUUCUGUUUUCUCAGUGAAGUCUGAGGCAAGGCCGGUGACUUAAACAAAGAAGGGGUAGUGGAUAAUUUCAGGAAAGAUGGACACUUCACCUUGAGCAACAGGACAAGGAACUGAGUAACUGGGAAACAAGGUAGUUUCAAUGCUGGGCAUUGUUGAAUCCCUUGCCGUGGCUUGGGGCCAUGAAUUUAAGGUGAAACCAGUCAGCUGAGUUAGUUGUGUGAUUUUUUUUUUUCUCCUAGCAACAUUCAGCUGUUAUGAGGGCAGCGAAGAGCAGGCAGGUGAUCAGUUCACCCAAAAUUCGUGUUUUGCCCUGCAGGUUUGACAGAGGAGAAGCAGUGCCAGAGGCUUGAGAGUAGUUGCAAGGGGGUGAUUUUGAUGAUGAACCUUGAAAUGUUAGCUGAGUAGGAAAGCAAGAGAAGAAUCAGAGUGGGGGCCAUGAAAAUCAUUACUGGCUUAAAGUGAGUUAAUGGGCGCAGAGUUUCAGUUUGGGAAGAUGAAAAAUUUCUAAAGCUGGAUAGGGCUCUUGGUUUCACAGCAAUGUGAAUGUAUGUAAUGCCACUCAACCAAACACUUUUAAAUAUUUAAAAUUCAGUAACUCUAUAGAGAAAUAAAGGGUUUUCCCAAUCCUGGAAAAAAAUGGUUAAAAUUGUAAAUCUUACAUAUAUUUUACCAUAGUAAAAAAUGAAUUAGGCUGGGCCCAUGGCUCACACCUACAAUCCCAGCACUUUGGGAGGCUGAGGCAGGCAAAUCGUUUGAGGCCAGGAGUUCAAAACCAGCCUGGCCAACAUGGCAAAACUCAUCUCUACUAAAAAUACAAAGAAAAUAGCCAGGCAUGGUGGCACACACCUGUAAUCCCAGCUACUCAGGAGGCUGAGGCAUGAGAAUUGCUUGAACCUGGAAGGCAGACAUUGGAGUGAGCUGAGAUCUUCCCACUGCACUCCAGCCUGGGUGACAUAGCUAGACUGUCUCAAAAAAAAAAAAAAAAAGAAUGAACACUUAAAUAUUUGUGGCAGAUAGAGGUGUUAUUUGCAUAUGGAAGAAAAUUGCUUUAGAAAUGAAAUUUCAGAUUACUGAAACUAAAGAGAAAGUAUCUCUUCUUAUCAUGGUACCAAGCUUGAGGGUGCAUAAGUCACCUAUAGACGUAGAGAUUGUAGUAUAGGACCUGGGAAUAUUACAUUAUUUGCUCCCAUGUUUACUGUUUUGUUCUAAGCCUUUAGCACAGCAUUCAAAACAAGUUGAGCACUCAGUAAACAUUUGCUGACUCAGUACUUGGAGAACCUAGGUAGAGUAGAAUGAUGGGAAUCAAAAGGAAAACAGUAUUCUGUUAGAGAUCAGCAAUAUCUUACACUAGUAGAGGGAUCUGUGAGAAAAAGAAUCAAGACCAUUGAAUGUGUGGCGGCUUAUAGCAUUUGACAUUCUGAUCUGUGCACGUGAUGAGAAAAAAAGUCUGAUUACAGAACAGGGAAGGAGAGAAAUAAGCAUUGAGUUUCAUUUUUUGUUUGUUUUUGAGACAGGUUCUCACUGUUACCCAGCCUGGAGUGCAGUGGUACAAUUGUAGCUCACUGCAGCCUGGACCUCCUGGGAUCAAGGGAUUCCCCCAACCUCAGCCUCCCAAGUAGCUGGGACUAUAGAAAUGCAACACCAUGCCCAGAUAAUUUAAUUUUUUUUUUUUUUUUUUUUUUUUUGUAGAGACAGGGGUUUCUCUUUGUCACCCAGGCUGGCCUCAAACUCCUGGGCUCAAGCAGUCUUCCCACCUUUCCCUCCCAAAGUGCUGGGAUUACAGGCGUGAGCCACUGCAUCCUGCCGAGAAAAUCAUUUUUUAUUUAAAUAAUGUCAAAUGGAAGUAUGUAGCACCCCCCCCCCACCUUCUUUUCCCCUUUCUUUCCUCUUUGAGUCUGCUGUCAUUCCCUUUUUCAUGAGUUUUCUCUGCUCCCCAAAUAGGCUAAACAAUAACCGUAAAGUGAGAUUAGAGAAAAUAAGAAUGGAGUAGAUGAUGGAAUUCAAAAUAGCUGUCUACAUUCUUCACUGAGAAAGAUAGCUUUGAGUUAAAGGUGAGAGGAGCAAAUCUGGGGAAAAACGGGUGAAACGGCAUGAUUUAAGUAGCAUACCAGAUGCGUUUCUGCAUGGCAUGGCUCUUGCUUGAUGAAUAAUGUUCUGUAUAGUAGAAGAGGAAAAUACAGUGAGUGAAGGAGCUGGCAGAAGGUGGGCUGGGGGAGUUGGGGAAGAGUGAAAUGAGUAUGGAGAGGUGAGAGAGCUGACUGCAAAGGCAUGUGGGGUGUGGAUUUUAAAAGGAAAGCCCUGAGGUGGAAAUCACUAACAUGGUGCCUGGCUACAAGCAGAGGGAGCUCAGGACUUGACUGUGCUGGGGGUGGCCUGCCCUUUUGUAGUGCAGUUGAGGAGAGCUCAGGGGCUGUCAGAAUGCUGUGUGGGAAGGUGGAGGAUGAAAGAGGACCUGGGAGCAGCAACUUUGUUCUGGUUUGUUGUUUUCUCUUCCCUACCUCGUAUGUACUCCCACUCAGGAAAAGAUCCUGAGACCUCUCUGUACCAGAUCCUCUUAUACCCAGGUUCUCCUUAAUCCCAAUCAACUUUAAUCUAUAAAGUUACGAUUUGUUUACUUAUAAAUUUAUUUUUAAUAAAGUUGUGAAACCG
rnacentral:lncRNA from 1 species